rfam:Myotis lucifugus cont2.15691, whole genome shotgun sequence.
CAUGCACAAGUGGGGUCCCUCAGCCUGGCCUGUGGGGAUCAACUCGGGGGAUGUUAGAGAGCCGGUUUCUGCCUGAUCACCACAGGCCAGGCUGAGGGACCCCACUGGUGCACG